rnacentral:rRNA from 1 species
CCUACGGGUGGCAGCAGUCGAGAAUCAUUCACAAUGGGGGAAACCCUGAUGGUGCGACGCCGCGUGGGGGAAUGAAGGUCUUCGGAUUGUAAACCCCUGUCAUGUGGGAGCAAAUUAAAAAGAUCGUACCACAAGAGGAAGAGACGGCUAACUCUGUGCCAGCAGCCGCGGUAAUACAGAGGUCUCAAGCGUUGUUCGGAAUCACUGGGCGUAAAGCGUGCGUAGGCUGUUUCGUAAGUCGUGUGUGAAAGGCGCGGGCUCAACCCGCGGACGGCACAUGAUACUGCGAGACUAGAGUAAGGGAGGGGGAACCGGAAUUCUCGGUGUAGCAGUGAAAUGCGUAGAUAUCGAGAGGAACACUCGUGGCGAAGGCGGGUUCCUGGACAGUAACUGACGCUGAGGCACGAAGGCCAGGGGAGCGAAAGGGAUUAGAUACCCGGGUAGUC